GAUGAACGCUGGCGGCGUGCUUAACACAUGCAAGUCGAACGGAAAGGCCCAAGCUUGCUUGGGUACUCGAGUGGCGAACGGGUGAGUAACACGUGGGUGAUCUGCCCUGCACUUCGGGAUAAGCCUGGGAAACUGGGUCUAAUACCGGAUAGGACGAUGGUUUGGAUGCCAUUGUGGAAAGUUUUUUCGGUGUGGGAUGAGCUCGCGGCCUAUCAGCUUGUUGGUGGGGUAAUGGCCUACCAAGGCGUCGACGGGUAGCCGGCCUGAGAGGGUGUACGGCCACAUUGGGACUGAGAUACGGCCCAGACUCCUACGGGAGGCAGCAGUGGGGAAUAUUGCACAAUGGGCGCAAGCCUGAUGCAGCGACGCCGCGUGGGGGAUGACGGCCUUCGGGUUGUAAACUCCUUUCGCUAGGGACGAAGCGAUUUUGUGACGGUACCUGGAGAAGAAGCACCGGCUAACUACGUG
rnacentral:rRNA from 1 species